GGGGAUGGAGCAUGGCUCAGGGGCAGAACAUCUGUUUGGCAUGCAGAAGGUCCCAGGUUCAACUCCCAGCAUCUUCA
rnacentral:tRNA from 1 species